CUUCUUUUCAGGCAGGGAAUGGACCCUGUAGAGACUCAAACACUGGUAUAACAUAGACCUGGGCUCUCAGCUUUAGAUGAUUAGAUUCAGAUGUUUCCAAGAAAAUUAUUUGCUCCAAAAGGACUCUUUGGUUACUAAAAGGUAUAGCAAUCAUAUUUAAAAUGUUUUUACUCACAGUCAGGUUCCUACAGCUUCAGUCACAUAGGAUUUACUUGAGGGUUUAUCCUUGGGCUGCUCUGUUGAGUGCGGAGAAUUCAGAAGAACUCUUUAAGACACUGUCU
rnacentral:lncRNA from 1 species